rnacentral:rRNA from 1 species
CAAUAGCGUAUAUUUAAGUUGCUGCAGUUAAAAAGCUCGUAGUUGGAUUUCGGGUGGGAAUGGCCGGUCCGCCGUUUCGGUGUGCACUUGCUACGCCCACCUUGCUGCCGGGGACGUGCUCUUGAGUUCACGCUCGGGACACGGAGUCGGCGAGGUUACUUUGAGUAAAAUAGAGUGUUCAAAGCAGGCCUACGCUCUGAAUACAUUAGCAUGGAAUAACACGAUAGGACUCUGGCCUAUCUUGUUGGUCUGUAGGACCGGAGUAAUGAUUAAGAGGGACAGUCGGGGGCAUUCGUAUUUCAUUGUCAGAGGUGAAAUUCUUGGAUUUAUGAAAGACGAACUACUGCGAAAGCAUUUGCCAAGGAUGUUUUCAUUAA